CCAUCAGAUUCAUACCAAACUGCUCUCGACUCUUGCAGUUAAAUAUGGAGCUACAAAUGGGAAAAAUAAGGCCUCCCUCCGAGGUAAUGAUCAGAUGGGAGUAAAGAGAGACUCGUUGACUUGUCGGCCAAUUAGUUGGUAUGUGCAAUUACCGCAUUACCCAUGUUUCUCCUCAUUUACUUUGCAUGGAGCAGAGGGACAGAUCCAUAGCAAGGCAGCUCUGUAAAACCAGAGGCCGUUGGAGGGUAUUCCGGGGACGACACGGAAUGUUAGUUGGCGGCGGGUGAGAGCGGAGGCGCUUCUUUGGUGCCCGCUGCUACAGUAGGGCCACAUGAGUCUGUGCAGUCACACGCGCACCAAGAGAGAGAAGCACGAGCGCCUGGGUUCUUCACGAUGAAUGCUCAGCAUCAUUGAUCGGAAAGGACAAACAUCUAUUUUGCAGUAAAAUUAAAAAGAGAGAUAAAGUGAGCAG
rnacentral:lncRNA from 1 species